rnacentral:lncRNA from 1 species
AGACAGGGGCAGCACCCCCUGUUUGCUGCCUUUCCAGGGAGGGCAGCACGAGAAAGAAAGAGGGAGGCAAGCGAAAUUCCUGAAUGGAUAGACAGAUGCUACGUCAUCGGAGCCGCAUCCUCCACUCCACAAGAGGCUAGGAGCCGGAGAAAGAGGCAGGCCAGCGGCAGGGGCCACCGAGCCAGCGCGCCUCCUCCCAGAAGCCGGAGCAGAGCAUCGGAGAAGAAGCAGCCUCAUUUGCUUCUGGUGUCAUCGUAGGUGUCCACCUUUGGCUUUGGGGGAACCUUCCUGACCCAGGGAUUGAACUUGCCUCUCCUGCUUCUCCUGUAUCGGCAGGCAGAUUCUUUACCACUGAGCCACCUGGGAAGCCCUACUAGCUGCGUGGCCUUAGGAAAUUUCAUGAUCUUGCUUAUUCCUGUCUUGGAAAAUCCUUUCCAAUGUCUAACCAAGAUCUGUACUGCUGAAGUACCAGUUCUUUGACCUAUGGCUUGACAUGGCUGAUUUGAGAGGUACAGCUUCCCACCACCCAGGAAGGAAGGAACUGGCCUGGAUUUUGGCAACCUCUUGCUUGUACCAAAAAGAAGAACCUACUUCAUCCAGUUGGCUUCAGUGCCCUGUGAGAAGCCUUCCUGAUUGACGGAAAGAUGAGACUAAAUUCUAGCAAGUUGAGUGGCUCCUUCAAGAAGCCUGUGUGCAGGGUAGAAGUGGAGAGGCCAUAGCCUCCAGCCUGGGCAGCCCAUUGGCACCUGGAGCCACCUCAACUUUGCCUCCCCUUUGCUCCUGUGUCUAUAAGCUGCCCAGCCCAGCCCGUCCUGGUUUCUCCUGUGUCUUCUGAGCUGAGAUUUCUCUGAGAUGGAAGCCCCAUCCCAUGUCUAAUAAAGACUCUUGAAUACUGAAAAAAAAAAAAAAAA